UAGAUUUGAUAUUUUAUCAAAGAUCCUACCUACGCGAUACCACAUGUGAUAAUGGAUCUCUUUCAACGGCUAUAGUGAUCGUCCCUCUCUCAAAACCCUAAUUGUCGAAAUUCUCUCUACUAAAUCGCCCUCACUACCAGAUUUUCUCAUCAUCAAGGAACAUGAGUCGCUCUAGCAGAACUAUAUAUGUUGGCAAUCUUCCUGGGGAUAUUCGCGAGCGAGAAGUGGAAGAUUUGUUUUACAAGUAUGGUCAAAUAGCCCAUAUUGAUUUGAAAAUUCCACCAAGGCCUCCAGGUUAUGCUUUUGUAGAGUUUGAAGAGGCUCGUGAUGCUGAAGAUGCUAUUCGUGGUCGCGAUGGCUAUGAUUUUGAUGGGCACAGAUUAAGGGUGGAACUCGCCCAUGGUGGUCGUGGCAACUCAUCUUCUACAGACCGUCAUGGCGGUUAUGGCAGUGGUCGCGGUGGUGGUGGUGGUGGUGGUGGUCGCAGUGGUGGAGUUUCUAGACGCUCUGAUUACAGAGUUAUGGUGACUGGCUUACCCUCUUCUGCAUCAUGGCAAGACCUAAAGGAUCACAUGCGCAGAGCUGGAGAUGUUUGUUUCUCCCAAGUUUUUAGGGAGGGUGGGGGUACUACAGGGAUUGUGGACUACACAAACUAUGAUGACAUGAAAUAUGCUAUACGGAAAUUGGAUGACUCUGAGUUUCGAAACGCCUUCUCUCGUGGAUACAUACGAGUGAAGGAAUAUGAUUCGAGCCAUUCUAGGAGCCGGAGUCGCAGUAGAAGCAAAAGCAGGAGCUACAGCAGGAGUCGCAGCAGGAGCAUAAGCAAGUCCCCGAAAGCAAAAGCAAAAGCUUCAAGAUCUGCUUCACCUCGUUCUGGAUCUAAAUCAAGGCAUGCCUCUUUUCUCCCUUGUAAUAUAUAUAUUUUGUUUUGCUUAUUUUGACUUAAGAGUAGUAUUAACAAGUCUUGUUGUACCAUGUUAGUAAGCAAUCUUGUUGCAUGAUAGUGUUAGUUUAGUUGUUGGUUAUCUCAUUUUGAAUGCUUUUCGUUGUCUGGAUAAAUGAAAAAAUACAUUCAUGCACACAUUGGGGAGUUGAGUUGGAAGAAUUUUUAUUUAUUUUUGAGUUUUAGAUAUGGGUAUAUGGGAUUAUGAUGGGAUAUGGUGCAAUUGCCUAUAACAGUUUUGGUUGUUGAGGUAUUGUGGUUUGUAGAUGCGAAUUUUGGAAUUCCUUGUGGUGUUCUUAAAUAAGCAUAUUGGGAAGAAGAAGAAUGAUGGAAAUGGGAUUUGCAAUGGUAAAGCUGGAAUGUGAAGUAGGGAACUAUACGAUCCCUGCAUGUGGUAUAUUGGUCUCUCUGUUGGGCUGCUAAACAUGUGUGGAUUUUGCGUUGAUUAAUACUAUUGAUUAUGGAAGUGGGCAUCAAGGCUCUCUCCCACUCUCUCUCUCUGUGUCCCUCUCUCUCUUGGAUCAGAGGAACAUGUGGAUAUUAAACUCGCUUGUUUCUGGAACUUUUGCAGAUCUCCUUCAAGAUCCAGAUCUCCCCUACCUUCUCGCCCUAAGCGGGUAAGUAAAAGCCCAAAAAGACGCAGUCCUAGCAAGAGCCCCAGCAGAAGCAGAAGCAGGAGCAAGAGUUUAUCUCGGUAAUAAGUUAGCGGGUUGAUGAUUAUGGAUGGAGCGGAAAAGGAGCAUGAGGUGAUAUCAUGGGGUUGUUGCUUACUAUUUCAGUUAUUAAUAGUGGUGGAUUAUGAUUAUGAUUAUUGAUGAGAUUUGGAAAGAAUGGAUUUGUGAUUUUGUUUCAGUUAUGUGACUGAGUUUGGUGUAAGUUUCUGCUUUUUUUUGGAACAGUUUGUUCUUGUUUUUCAUGUAUCACUUGGUACUUAAAGAACUUUGCAUCA